rnacentral:tRNA from 1 species
GUCAGGAUGGCCGAGCGGUCUAAGGCGCCGGAUUUAAGCUCUGGUUCUCGAAAGAGAGCGUGGGUUCGAACCCCACUCCUGACA